ACUUUCAAAAAGAUACCGAGAUGAUGGUGAGCAUGACUUGGAACCCGAUUGGAACCCACAACAGAAGCGGCAAUCUUCAACCACGAUAAUUAUGGAAUUCAAGGAUGCUAAUGAUGAUUAAAUUAUUGAAGAUUUGGAUUUAGAACUUCAACUUGUGAAUUGAAGUUCAGAAAGGAAUCGAAGUUGCAGAAGGAAUCAAAGUUGGGGGGAAUGAACUGGAACGGAUGCUUGUGGAAUUUGCAGCAAAGUAAUCUCCUCGACCACUUUACUGGAAUUUCAGUACAUAUAUUAAUAUAUACACCAAGAAUAUUUCAACAGGUUCAAAGGCCUCAAAGAAAAUGUUUUUAGACCAAGACCAGAUCUGUAAGGGAGAUUAAGGAUGCUGGAUGAAUUGUUAUACUAGGCAUUAUAAGGUCACCAUUAAAAGGCUGAAAUUAAUGACCAAAUUUAUGUGGAGGGAAGAAAGGUAAUGUGCGUGGAGCUGGUUUUCUUAACAUUUGUGUUGUUUUUUUCUUUUUCCGUAUACUGUAAUUGUCGAUCUUCUUGGGCUAUAUUUGUCAAAAUACAGGGUAAUUGCUGAGAGUUUCUGGUUUGAGAAAUGACACAAAUCAAAGGUCCUAAAGCUCUGGAUUGGAUUAUUAUCAUACUUUUGUACCCGUUUCAUUCCAAAAGAUUGAAUUUAUUGUCAAGAACCACAGGCGUGAUCUAGAUUGUUAAAUGGGUUCUGUCCCUGAAGAUCUGUCAGCCACAAUGCCUUCAAAAGUGACAAACCAAUGACAAUUUUGUGGAACUCACAAAAGAUGCAUUAAGCUAUGCUGAGGGUCUUCCCCUCGCUUUAAUAGUGGUGGGCUCGGAUCUAUGCGGUAGAGAUAUAUCUUAUUGGAAAAGUGCAUUGGAAAAAGAUAAAAGAAUUCCGGAGGAAAAUAUUCAAGAAAAAUUAAGAAUAAGUUACGAUGGAUUAGAACCAAAUGAGAGAAAUAUUUUCCUUGAUAUUGCAUGUUUUUCCAGAGGAAAGGAUGCAAGAUAUGUUACUAAAAUACUGGAUAGUUGUGGCUUCUUUCCAAAUGCUGGUAUCAAAAAGCUUAUCGACAAAUGCCUCAUAAGUAUUGAUAAGUAUGACAGAUUGACCAUGCAUGACUUGUUGCAAGAUAUGGGUAGAGAAGUUGUUCGACAAGAGUCACCAAGAGAGCCUGGCAGAUAUAGUAGGUUAUGAUUUCAUGAAGACAUUCGUUAUGUACUUGAAGAAAAUACGGUUGGAGGAUUGCAGGCAACUUCAAGAAAUUUUAGAGCUUCCACCCAAUAUAGAAGAGAUGUAUGCUAAUGGAUGCAUCUCAUUGGAAAGGUUUCCCGAAGUAUAAAGAAAGUUUCAAUUCAAUACUUGCAACUUAAGGGCACUUUGAUGGAUUGAAUUGUUCAGAUGCUAUAAAAUGUUUGUGAAUAUACCAAUUCAUGUGGCAAAUCCUUUAUUCGAUGAGGGACAUCUUAAUGACUAUUUUGGCGGCAUUAUAUUUCCGGGAAGUAUGAUUCCUGACUGGCUAAUCCAUUGUAAGGAGGCUUAAAAUACUCAUGGGGUUUACUUCACUCAUGGGGUUUAGUUCAUGAAUGGUUGGAAUACUCUGUUCUAGAACCUUUCCAGCUAAAAGGGAAAAGUCUGAAUGUUAAGUUUACUUGUUAUUCAAACUCAUUAUCCCUUAAACGUUGUGGAGUCUAGUUGGUGUUGGUGCAUAAGCAUGCAGAUAAUGCUAAAGAUCAUUCAGAUGUGGUCUAUGAGCAUGAUUGCAACUUGGAAUCUGACUAUCAUCCACAACAGAAGAGGCAUUCUACAACCUUGGAUAUCGAAAAUUUGAACUUAGAGGAUACUCAACUCGGAUUGCACAUCAUGCCACCAUUUGCUCAGAAACAGGCUACUUGGUCUUAGCCAACUUCACAUGAGGCUGGUGAAAGCUCAUCUAGACAGGUGGCACGACCUUCCUGGAUGGAAACUCUAUUGUCGAAGAUGGAUUGUAGGAUGGAUGCACAUGUGGCUCCAUUGAGACAGCUCGAAGAUAUUGCAUCUAGACUCAAGAACAUAGAGAUUCAACUCCAGGAUCUACAGAGUGCCUUCAAGGAAAAUGUACCAUAACCAGCAGGGGAUUGAUCCUACAGGGCUUGAUUCACAUUCUAUUUCUACCUGCUAACUUUUCAUUAUGUUUGUAUUGCACCGUACUCUUUUUGAGCAUGUCAUUUCAGCAUGUUUUUGUGUCUGUUAUGGAGCUAUUAUGGAGCCUUGAUUCACUUCUAAAGUGAUAUUUGGUCGAGCUAUUAUGGAGUUGAUGAUCUAGAACAGUAAAAGGGAUGAAAAUAUAAAUGUUUGAAGAAGGCUGAUUGGUAUGCCUAAUAUAUUUCCAACAA